GACGAUGGGGGUGUCCGGAAUCCGGAUCGAAGCGGAAGCGGUAGUGGGCUAGUGGCUGCGGCCUUUUUAGAUUUGGCCCAUGAAGUAGACCAGGACCAAGUUUUUCCACGACCUUGGUCAGCCGAACCUGCUGGGGAGCCCAAACUCCCCGGCGGGGAUCCAGGCCCAUGAGCCCUAUGGCUUUACAGAUUCUUGAAGGCUUUGCUUUGGGUUCCAUCGCUUCCCUGCGGCAAGCGGUGUCCUUACGGCGGCGACGGCCGACGGGGGACGGCAGCGGCGGCGGCGGCGGCGGCGGCGUGAGGUCUUUCGACUUCGAAGGUGAGGACGAAAGCGACUUGGUGCUUUGGAUGGCGAGGCCCAAACUGGCAUCCUAUCCUAUCUGAAACCGCAAUUCUUCAGAGAAGUGAGCAGCCAAGCCAAUUCGGUUGUUUUAGACUAUUAACCCUAGAGAGCGAGCAAUCUCCGGCAUCAAAUCGAGCUCUCUCACCUCAGCAUUCCAGGUGGGAAACAAAAUCUCAAUUUUUGGAGCAGAUAGCCUCGUCAGAGACAGAGCAUGCAUUCUCAACUUUCACUCACACUUCCACUAUCAGUCGAUCAUUGCAAAAGCUGAAGAAAGUGACAACCAAAUUUACCAGUCACAACUACCGAUUCAUCACUUUCCUUUUCUCAGGUGACACGCACACUCACCAGGUAAUGCUAUAAAAGCAUCGGACUGCCUGGCCAUCUCAGCCUUCCUCUGGUGCAUAUCAGCCACUGCUUUCACCUCCCCCACUGUCUCACCUGAUAUCUGCAACCAACACACGCGCAAGAACAAGCAUCAUAUUUUACUAGCUGGCACAGGCUUUUUUGCUUGACCUAAAGGGGACCAACUUUCUGGAGAUGGAGAAAGAAAUGGAGGAUGACUUGACUGUUUUACAUUACCAGUUUUUUUAAUCAGAUGACACAUGUUCAGGGGAGGCAAUUAUGGUGCUGGUUUUGGGGAUAGGAGGAACUAUGAUGGGCUUUUUCAUUUUUAACUGAGCCAGCAUUUGUUGGAGAGAUUGCGGUCAAGAUCAGCAAGAUUUGAUCGAUCAUGUGGGGAACACAAUUUCAGUGAGCAUUUCUCCUGAUCUUUCAUCAUAUGCCUGCCUUUUUCCUUUCCCACUAGCAAGAAAGACAAGCGAGAAGGAUCUAAAGACAGUAUCAUGUAUUUUUCCUUCUUUACUCUUCUUAAAUGUACACCCUAAUAGAAUAUUUCUGAAGAUAAACAUGAACCCAUUGUGAUUGACUUCAGUACUUAAAGAUGACCAUUAGGUUUA